AGCGGCGGAUGGGUGAGUAACACGUGGGGAACCUGCCCCUAAGUCUGGGAUACCAUUUGGAAACAGGUGCUAAUACCGGAUAAUAAAGCAGAUCGCAUGAUCAGCUUUUGAAAGGCGGCGUAAGCUGUCGCUAAGGGAUGGCCCCGCGGUGCAUUAGCUAGUUGGUAAGGUAACGGCUUACCAAGGCGACGAUGCAUAGCCGAGUCGAGAGACUGAUCGGCCACAUUGGGACUGAGACACGGCCCAAACUCCUACGGGAGGCAGCAGUAGGGAAUCUUCCACAAUGGACGCAAGUCUGAUGGAGCAACGCCGCGUGAGUGAAGAAGGUUUUCGGAUCGUAAAGCUCUGUUGUUGGUGAAGAAGGAUAGAGGUAGUAACUGGCCUUUAUUUGACGGUAAUCAACCAGAAAGUCACGGCUAACUACGUGCCAGCAGCCGCGGUAAUACGUAGGUGGCAAGCGUUGUCCGGAUUUAUUGGGCGUAAAGCGAGCGCAGGCGGAAAAAUAAGUCUAAUGUGAAAGCCCUCGGCUUAACCGAGGAACUGCAUCGGAAACUGUUUUUCUUGAGUGCAGAAGAGGAGAGUGGAACUCCAUGUGUAGCGGUGGAAUGCGUAGAUAUAUGGAAGAACACCAGUGGCGAAAGCGGCUCUCUGGUCUGCAACUGACGCUGAGGCUCGAAAGCAUGGUAGCGAACAGGAUUAGAUACCCUGGUAGUCCAUGCCGUAACGAUGAGUGCUAAGUGU
rnacentral:rRNA from 1 species